GCAGCAGUUAACACUACACAAGACAACAGUAAAACUUUCUAUAAAGUCAGGACUGAAAUGCGAGCUGCACUCAGCAGUCUCUUGAAGGAAGAUGGAAUAUUAGUAAUUCCAACUAUUUCAGAUUCUACGGGAAAGCUCAAUUCAAACAAAACCCUAUCCACCGAGUUCCAUGAUAGAGCAUUUGCAUUACUGAGCAUUGCAAGCAUGUCUGGUUGUUGCUAGGUAGUUUACUUUGAUAUCUAUCUGUUCCAUUAUUGGGUUUAUAAUCUAGUGGGCUUAUAUAGAAGUACUAUUUCUUCUGGUUGCCAGGUUACUGUUCCAUUAGGAAAGCAUGAUGGUACUCCUUUCUCUGUAUCAUUUAUUGCGUCCCAUGGAGCAGAUAAAUUCCUCCUUCGUAGUGUUUUGGAUAUUUACACUUCUCUUCAAGAACAAGUCAGUUUAGUGUCAAACUCAUUGCCAGUACCAGAUUCUGACGGUAGCAUCGAUACUUCAGAACUUUUGAAAGAAAAGGGAAAUGCUGCUUUUAAGGGAAGGCAGUGGAAUAAAGCUGUUAGUUACUACAGUGAAGCCAUCAAGUUGAAUGGAAAUAAUGCAACCUAAUACUGCAACAGAGCAGCA